rnacentral:rRNA from 1 species
AGCGGAAAGGCCCCUUCGGGGGUACUCGAGCGGCGAACGGGUGAGUAACACGUGAGCAACCUGCCCCUGACUCUGGGAUAAGCCUGGGAAACUGGGUCUAAUACCGGAUAUGACGCAUUCUCGCAUGGGAUGUGUGUGGAAAGUUUUUCGGUUGGGGAUGGGCUCGCGGCCUAUCAGCUUGUUGGUGGGGUGAUGGCCUACCAAGGCGACGACGGGUAACCGGCCUGAGAGGGCGACCGGUCACACUGGGACUGAGACACGGCCCAGACUCCUACGGGAGGCAGCAGUGGGGAAUAUUGCGCAAUGGGCGGAAGCCUGACGCAGCGACGCCGCGUGGGGGAUGACGGCCUUCGGGUUGUAAACCUCUUUCAGCAGGGACGAAGCUAACGUGACGGUACCUGCAGAAGAAGCGCCGGCUAACUACGUGCCAGCAGGGCGG